AAGCUCGUAGUUGAAUUUCGGGAUCAGACUGUCGGUCGUGCCUCGGUACGCACUGGCAUUAUUGGUUCCUACCUUCUGAAGAACCGCGAUGUCAUUAAUUUGGUGUCGUGGGGAAUCAGGACUGUUACUUUGAAGAAAUUAGAGUGUUUAAAGCAGGCGCACGCCUGAAUACAUUAGCAUGGAAUAAUGAAAUAGGACGUUUGAUUCUAUUUUGUUGGUUUCUAGGAUCGACGUAAUGAUUAAUAGGGAUAGUUGGG
rnacentral:rRNA from 1 species